rnacentral:rRNA from 1 species
AAGCGUGCGCAGGCGGUUAUGUAAGACAGAUGUGAAAUACCCCGGGCUCAACCUGGGAACUGCAUUAGUGACUGCAUAGCUGGAGUACGGCAGAGGGGGAUGGAAUUCCGCGUGUAGCAGUGAAAUGCGUAGAUAUGCGGAGGAACACCGAUGGCGAAGGCAAUCCCCUGGGCCUGUACUGACGCUCAUGCACGAAAGCGUGGGGAGCAAACAGGAUUAGAUACCCUUGU